rnacentral:tRNA from 2 species
CAAAAUAUAGCUUAAC